rnacentral:rRNA from 1 species
CAUCGCCUCUUGCAAAUCUUAUAUAAGAGGUCCCGCCUGCCCUGUGACAUUGUUUAACGGCCGCGGUAUUAUGACCGUGCGAAGGUAGCGUAAUCACUUGUCUUUUAAUUGAAGACCUGUAUGAAAGGCAUCACGAGAGUUUACCUGUCUCUAUUUUCUAAUCAAUGAAAUUGAUCUCCCCGUGCAGAAGCGGGGAUAUAACCAUAAGACGAGAAGACCCUAUGGAGCUUCAAACACUUAAGUUACUAUCUUCUUUAUAAAUUAAUCUAAAGACUUAACCAUUCUAAUAGUAAUCUAACUUAAUGUUUUCGGUUGGGGCGACCAAGGAGUAAAAGAAAACCUCCUUACCGAUUGAGUAUUUUUACUUAAAAGUCAGAACGACAGUUCUGAUUAAUAGAAUGUCUAACGAAUAAUGACCCAGGGCUAUACCCUGAUCAAUGAACCAAGUUACCCUAGGGAUAACAGCGCAAUCCUUUCUAAGAGUCCAUAUCGCCGAAAGGGUUUACGACCUCGAUGUUGGAUCAGGACAUCCUAAUGGUGCAACCGCUAUUAAGGGUUCGUUUGUUCAACGAUUAAUAGUCCUACG